UCAGAAUUUGGUGAGGAGAAUAGUUCUAAAGGCUCCAUCAAUAGAGGUAAUCAAGAUUCCAUCCCUUUUUUUGCUUCUAUUUUUUAUUUUUUGUACAUUCAUGAUGUUGUAAGUUGAUGAUUUAAUCUUUUACUCGAUUUCCAUAGUUCAAAGACCAACUUCCUCAUGUCACUUGGAAUAAAUUACAACCUAUUUCCUGUUAUUUUAAUUAAAUUUAUUGUUAUUCAUUCCAUUCUAAGGAUUUCAGUAUGGUUUGCAAUAAUUGAAGUUCAAAAUAAUUAGUUUUACCACUAUAUAAUUUCUGCUACUACAAUGUUCACCAAAUGCUUGAUAAAUUAUUUCUCUAUUUGAUGCGUUUAUUAAUUCACAUGGAAUGGAAGGUGAGAGAGAGAUUAAUCGAAUGAUCAAACUUUUGGUUGAGGAAAAAGUUCCCCUUUGCUAAACUUUUGAACUGGGGUUGAAUGCUCUCAAUUGGAUCUCAGUUGUGAGUUUAUGAAAUCUUUCUUUUGAGAUUGUGGUUUGAAGAUUUUUGAAAUGAUGCUCCUUGCAUUGCGGUGCCAAAGAUAUCCAUGAAGGUUAUCAAAGAAAGAGCAUUUUUCUUGGUCAGUAAAUCUCUCUUUUUCCCUCUAUAUGGAUGUGUCUCUGAAACAUUUUUUUAUAUAUAGUAGUUUCUUGUGUAAAUCCCACGUGUUUGGGUGCAUCAAAUAUUUGCUAUAUAGAUUAAAAAACAUAGAGGGUGUGUGAGUGUGGGGAUGAGGGAGAGUAGAGAUAGAGGGAGGCAAAAAGUGCAGAUAAAUGAAUAAAAUGGUGUGAGGCAAAUUGCAUCUUGAAAAGUUAUCUACCUAUGUGCUGAAUUGCUGAUAAAAAAAAAAAAAACCUAUGUGCUGAAUUC